rnacentral:rRNA from 1 species
AUGAACGCUCGCGGCAGGCUUAACACAUGCAAGUCGAGGGGCAGCGCGGGAUAGCAAUAUCCUGGCGGCGACCGGCGGAAGGGUGCGUAACGCGUGAGCGACAUGCCCGUUGCCCGGGGACAACCGGUGGAAACGCCGACUAAUCCCCGAUGGGAUAUUGUGCCGCAUGGCACGAUAUUGAAAGUUACGGCGGCGACGGAUUGGCUCGCGUCCGAUUAGCUUGUUGGCGGGGUAACGGCCCACCAAGGCUGCGAUCGGUAGGGGUUCUGAGAGGAAGGCCCCCCACAAUGGGACUGAGACACGGCCCAUACUCCUACGGGAGGCAGCAGUGAGGAAUAUUGGUCAAUGGGCGGAAGCCUGAACCAGCCAUGCCGCGUGCGGGAAGGAGGCCCUAUGGGCUGUGAACCGCUUUUGCCUGGGGGCAAUAAGGGCGUCGCGCACGUCCGAUGAGAGUACCAGGCGAAUAAGCAUCGGCUAACUCCGUG